AAUCCCUUCAUGUAUAUCACCAGAAAGAAAUAAAGCUAUCCUUACCUGAAUUAUUCAAAAUAUUGUCGAUCGUUUGCAUCGUGAAAAUCAAACAUACUGCAUGUAAAUAAGCUCGUAACUGAAAUCCUGUGACGAAUCACUAAGACAGUUUAACAUGCACUGCUCUUUCCUUUGCUCAUGUGGCCGAUUUUUAGGUAGAAUUGCCACUUUUGGUUUCAUUUUGAUGCAGUUUCGGCAUCCCCCUAAAUUCUUUUGCGCCUCCUAAAUUCCAUGACCCCCCCCCCAGCCAGCAAUGCCACUGACCUUCAUAUACAUAGGUAUUCAAUACUCAGAUAAAUAAAAUAAAUAAACAAAUGUUCAAAACUGACCAUGGACAGAAAAUUCAUCCUCUCUUCUCCCAACAUUCUUGGUGGGCUUCCUGCGAUUUCGUCUUUUCUUCGAUCUCUUCCUGAAUUUACCCUCCAUUGCAUUUGUCUUUAUAACUCCCCACCACUAAAUUUCGUUUUCUUUACCAACUAAUGCAGAUCUUAGCUUUGAAUUAAGAAAGAAUAGUUUCAGUUCUAAUCAUUGAAAUAUGGUUGUUUGUAUUGGAGUUCGAAUCAUUUAAUUUAUUGAAGGUC